GACGAACGCUGGCGGCGUGCUUAACACAUGCAAGUCGAACGGAAAGGCCCUGCUUUUGUGGGGUGCUCGAGUGGCGAAAGGGGGAGUAACACGUGAGUAACCUGCCCUUUACUUUGUGAUAACUUCAGGAAACUGGGGCUAAUACCGGAGAGGAGCUCCUGCUGCAUGGUGGGGGUUGGAAAGUUUCGGCGGUUGGGGAUGGACUCGCGGCGUAUCAGCUUGUUGGUGGGGUAGUGGCUUACCAAGGCUUUGACGGGUAGCCGGCCUGAGAGGGUGACCGGCCACAUUGGGACUGAGAUACGGCCCAGACUCCUACGGGAGGCAGCAGUGGGGAAUAUUGCACAAUGGGCGGAAGCCUGAUGCAGCAACGCCGCGUGCGGGAUGACGGCCUUCGGGUUGUAAACCGCUUUCGCCUGUGACGAAGCGUGAGUGACGGUAAUGGGUAAAGAAGCACCGGCUAACUACGUG
rnacentral:rRNA from 1 species